AUGACUUUUACCGGAACAUUCUGGUUUGUCAUAGAGACAGACAGCAUGACUUUUAGUGGAACAUUCUGGUUUGUCGUAGAGACAGACAGCAUGACUUUUAGUGGAACAUUCUGGUUUGUCGUAGAGACAGACAGCAUGACUUUUACCGGAACAUUCUGGAACUAAAGCAGUUCCUCUGUUGAGAUAUGUGGUCUUACCGGAACAUUCUGGAACUAAAGCAGUUCCUCUGUUGAGAUAUGUGGUCUUACCGGAACAUUCUGGAACUAAAGCAGUUCCNNNNNNNNNNAAACUACUACAGACAAAGCACUGACCUCUAGUAAACUACUACAGACAAAGCACUGACCUCUAGUAAACUACUACAGACAAAGCACUGACCUCUAGUAAACUACUACAGACAAAGCACUGACCUCUAGUAAACUACUACAGACAAAGCACUGACCUCUAGUAAACUACUACAGACAAAGCACUGACCUCUAGUAAACUACUACAGACAAAGCACUGACCUCUAGUAAACUACUACAGACAAAGCACUGACCUCUAGUAAACUACUACAGACAGUACAGUAUACGGAAAACAUAUAUAUUGACAUAAUAUUUUAACAUGUAUUGUACACAUGUAUUUACGUAUACAGUAUUACAGAUAUCGAACUAUGUUGAAGCCUUAUAUGUACGCAUUAGUGAUGUUCUUUUUUUGGCCUCAUGUCUAUUACAGCAUAUUGGAUGACUGUAGAAUAUUCCAUUCGCCCAGUUCAAUAAAACAUUGAUAGGUUCAAUUAAGCUGAUACGUGAUUCUCAAAUCUUCCCAAUACCAAUCACGUGUUUGUUACAACCUAGCCUAUGACUGAACGUUUACAAUGUUGCUGCACACAGGUCGAGAGAAAAUGUGGAUGUAAAGAAAACGUUUUAACAGAUUUGUCAGAAUGAAUGCACCCCUUGAUCGUGCGUAAACACAGUUCACUUUCAUAGCAGCCACGUUGUGUUCCUUCUCGCAACUAUGCACUGCCCACCUCACCCUUUCUCUUCGUUUGUGGAUUUUUUUUACACACAACACAGCUGUAUGUGACCAGGCGAAGAAAACAUUUUCAAGACAAACCAUAUCAUAACCGCUACACACAGGCUACAUCGUUGUCACCAUAUUAGCUAAAGUAACAACAUGGUCAACAUAGCUAAUAGAACUAAUACGUAAUUAGUAAACCCGCUACAGUCAUACAGUAACGUUACAAUGUAUAGUCAGUAAGCAGUGACACCGGAGGGCCCCGGUGGCAAUAAAUUAAUAACACCAAAAGCCUUACCUUGACUUGGAAGAGUUCCAAUGUUGUGUUGGAUAGUCAUAGCCAGCUAGCUAACAUAGCAUCCCUCUCUGUUGGAUAGCCACAGCCAGCUAGCUAACAUAGCAUCCCUCUCUGUUGGAUAGUCAUAGCCAGCUAGCUAACAUAGCAUCCCUCUCUGUUGGAUAGUCAUAGCCAGCUAGCUAACAUAGCAUCCCUCUCUGUUGGAUAGCCACAGCCAGCUAGCUAACAUAGCAUCCCUCUCUGUUGGAUAGCCAUAGCCAGCUAGCUAACAUAGCAUCCCUCUCUGUUGGAUAGUCAUAGCCAGCUAGCUAACAUAGCAUUCCUCUCUGUUGGAUAGUCAUAGCCAUGUAGCUAACAUAGCAUCCCUCUCUGUUGGAUAGCCACAGCCAGCUAGCUAACAUAGCAUCCCUCNNNNNNNNNNAGCACACCUGAUUCCCACCAGGCCUGAACACACCUGAUUCCCACCAGGCCUGAGCACACCUGAUUCCCACCAGGCCUGAGCACACCUGAUUCCCACCAGGCCUGAGCACGCCUGAUUCCCACCAGGCCUGAGCACACCUGAUUCCCACCAGGCCUGAGCACACCUGAUUCCCUGGCUGAUUCCCACCAGGCUCAUGCAGUCUGAACUCUGUUUUACAGUAUAGGAUCCCCACAUCCUGUGUGUUUUCUGUCAGUGUGUUGACACAGUCUUGAGGCAGGAUCUACAGCUGCAAUGAAACCAAGUGUAUAGGGGGUGGGCUGAUGNNNNNNNNNNNNNNNNNNNNNNNNNCAUUUGAUAGCUAAGUAAGUGAAACUGAAAAAAAAAAUCUCCCUCUCUCUCUCUUGUUUCUCCUUCAUUUUUGAAUAAAUUAAUUUGUUAAAAACUGUUAAACUUUUGUCUUUCGCUCACUUUGAAUCAACUACUCAUCACAUUUUAUACACUGCAGUGCUAAAAUGGGAUCCUUUGAUUGGGUGGACAACAUGUCAGUUCAGGAUGCAAGAGCUCUUAUAGGUUGGAGGAUGUCCUCCGGAAGGUGUCAUAAUUACUGUGUAAUGGAAGGGGGUGAAAAUCAAUAGCCUCCCAGGUUUUGUAUUAAAGUCAAUGUACCCAGAGGAGGAUAGAAGCUAGCUGUCCUCCGGCUACACCAUGGUGCUACCCUACAGAGUGCUGUUGAGGCUACUAUUACAAAACAGUGUGUUUUAAUCAAUAACAUGUUGCCGUGAAUAUAUUUAGUAAAGUUUUAUCUAAAAAGGACAACUUUUUAAAUGUUUUACAGUGUUUAUGUUUAUGAAAUUCUGUAAUAAAUUAUCAGGAGAAAAAGGUGUUGAUUCACGAGCAGAGUGCGGCAGGUGUUUAUUUGGCAGAAGGAUCGUGGUCAUACACAGGUAGGAAAAUCAAAACUAGGACUGAAGGCUAUAACUGGUUCUCACAAACAAGCUAGGAAAAGUCUUAGUAGAGUCAAAAUGGACAAUACCUCACAAAAGGCACAAACAGAAUGAACUGAACUAAAUAAGGAGCUGAUGAGACCAGGUGAGUAACUAACACAGGUGAAAUCAAUGAACAAAUAUGAAAGACAGGGCUACGUUCAAGAACACAACGAAACAGAACACAAGGUUGACUAAGAAAAUAAAUACAGAACCUUACAAAAAGAGAGGACCAAGGCACUCUCCAUAUAAUUAAUCAAAAUGCCUUUAUUUGUAUGGAAUCUUACACAUUCACUGGGGAGGAUGGCCCUCCCUUUCCUCCUCUGAGGAGCCUUCAAUGGUACACAUACAGUGCCUUCGAAAAGUAUUCAGACCCCUUGACUUUUUUCACAUUUUGUUACGUUACAGCCUUAUUCUAAAAUUGAUCCAAUUAAAUGUGGUCCUCAUAAAUAUACACACAAUACCCCAUAAUGACAUCACAAUACCCACAUAAUGACAUCACAAUACCCCAUAAUGACAUCACAAUACCCCAUGAUGACAUCACAAUACCCGAUAAUGACAUCACAAUACCCCAUAAUGACAAAGCAAAAAGCAGGUUUUUAGACAUUUUAUUUACCUUUAUUUAAAUAAGUAUUCAGAUCCUUUGCUAUGAGAUUCGAAAUUGAGCUCAGGUGCAUCCUGUUUCCAUUGAUCAUCCUUGAGAUGUUUCUACAACUUGAUUGGAGUCCACCUGUGGUAAAAUCUAUUUAUUGGACAUGAUUUGGAAAGUCACACACCUGUCUAUAGAAGGUCCCACAGUUGACAGUGCAU
rnacentral:lncRNA from 13 species